rnacentral:rRNA from 1 species
UUAGUGAUUGACCUUUGGGUCUUAUCUUAACAUCCCAUACCUCUGUGAACCGUUUGACCUCUGGGUCUUACAACUAUACAAACAUCAGUGUAAAGAACGUCUUGUUAUUUUAACAAAAACAAAACUUUCAACAACGGAUCUCUUGGCUCUCGCAUCGAUGAAGAACGCAGCGAAAUGCGAUAAGUAAUGUGAAUUGCAGAAUUCAGUGAAUCAUCGAAUCUUUGAACGCACCUUGCGCCUUUUGGUAUUCCGAAAGGCAUGCCUGUUUGAGUGUCAUGAAAUCUCAAUCCCAUCUGGUUUAUGAUCAGGUGUUGGACUUGGAUAUGGGUGUCUGCCAGUCACAUGGCUCACCUCAAAUGACUUAGUGGGAUCGCUUGCAUCUGUGACAGACGUAAUAAGUUUCGUCUUGUCCUUUGCUUUCAAUAUCCUGCUUACAAUCCUGGACCCUGUACACUUCCGUGUGCUUGGCCAAACCUUUGACUCUGACCUCAAAUCAGGUAGGACUACCCGCUGAACUUAAGCAUAUC